GUAAUUCUCUGUUCAAUUUACCUCAUCUUGCUCUAUGAGACGGUGACAUAUAGGGGGUCACACAGAGGAGCUGGGGUCUAAAGGCCUUGCGAAAGGGCACAGGGUCACGUGACUGGGCUGCCGGGGACCAACUCGAACCGGCGCCUUUCGAUCGCAGGCAGAGGCUUAGCCCGCUGAUACACAUACCGCUAUCGAAUAGUUUAAUUUACGUAUCCAGACAUAUACUGUAGGGACUUAUACAAUGAAUAUAAGUGAUAACGUUAAUCGUGUGUAAAUAAUUGGAGGAAAACACACAGCUGCUAUUUUUAAGUAAUUGGGUCAGCAGGUGUGUGAAUUGAGCCGGUUGAUGUAUGCGCUACUAUGCUGGGGAAAGUUUGGGGUCUCUUUUGCUGCAAUAAAAGAAAACAUUCAGAUCAAACUUCGUCAGGCAAGAGCAACUGCAAAGUCAAACGUAUCUGUUCCGCAGAGACUGUAAGUACUGUUUCGCAGGCGAAGGACGGCGGCGAUGGUGGGAGUGAAGUGCGGCAGAGGGGAGAGGAGAAGGCGGCCGCAGACGAGGGCGUGCGGGCGCUCGAAUGCCAAGUACAUCCUGACACGGAGAACACGGACAUGUCCCUUAAUGAGUUUACCCUGGAUGAUCUGGUUACCUUCACUGAUCAGGGUGAAAGUUCAGUGACGAGAGGGUACCUUCUGGCAAAGCAAAGAACAGGAAUGGUGCACGAGGAAGGACAAGAAGCAGGAGCUGGACAUGUCAAUGAUACUGCUGAAGACUUCAAACUUGAAAGGUUUUGUAAGCAUCACAAGUCUCCAGGAAUGAAUGAAGUACUGGAGAUGAUGCGUGAUGGUGUGUCUCUUAGACAUGUGAUUGAGGUACACAAGUUGGAAGCAGAACCUGAAUUGAACAGCCAGAUGGAGUCAGAGCUUCACAGAAUUCUGAAGAAGAGGAAGGCAUCUUCAGACAACUAUAUUUCAGAUGGCUCUUUGAUUAGGAAUCCCACGGAAUCAUAUAUGGUGAUGGUCCCACAGAAUGGCUCAGCCCUGAAAAGCUGCCCCGGGCAGAACUACCUACACCAGGAGGAGGGGAAUGGCCAAGAGUAAAGGCACAAAAGGCAAACUUUAGUCCACGAGCAGAUCUCUGUGUGUCCAGAAGGAGAAACUCCAGAGGAGGUGGGCGGAGCUGAGGGUGGCCCUUUCCCCAGAAUCUAACUUCUGUACUGCCUUCAGAUGUCCAUCAUCCCACCUACGUUUUUCAGUUCGUUACUGUUGCCUGUGUGCUGCACGCGGGACAUUUCCCCGGAGCGUGGUGCUAGCUGGACCGCGACCAAAAAGGGUUUCAGGUGCUUUUUCCUUUUCAGAAUGUGUUCAAGUUCAGCAAAACAAUCCAUGUCCAUUAAAUAUUUAGCACCGGCUUUUAGCCGUAACAGGGACUUCUAACACUGCAGGAGUAUUUUGAUGCUUUAAUUGAAGGCAUUUGUAUGUCUUUUUAGGUCCACUAAAAGCCAGGAACACCCUGUUUCUCAUUACGUACGAUCAUUUCUAUUUCAGAAUAACUGCAAUACAAACAAAUACUGAAUGACUUUUUUUUUUAAAGCUUAUUGAAUAGCCAUUUCUGAAAAGCAGAUCCCCAAGCAGGUACUGGCAGUAGAUACAUACAUACAUUGUUAAUGUUUUACAAGCAUGCAACAGUGUCCUUUGCAUCCUUGGAUCAAGGUGCACCUAAUAUAUUAUACCUAAUAUUUGACUGUAAGCAUUAUGCUGCACCUGUUAUGUUACUAUUUCUUUACAUAGUUUUAACUUUUAAAAUCAAUUCACAUUUUAAGACAACUUGCAUGUACUAGUUCUUGAUGUCGUGUUAUAUAAUGUUACGGAGCUUUGCCGUGGGAGAUUGACAUGUAGGUCUAGAGAGUAUGCAGUUUCUUUUAACAGAGCGAACUAAAUACAAGGAGAUGGCAAAGAAUGUUUCUAUAAUGCAACAUGUUUAUGCCGUUAGAAAACUUCUAUGGAUGUACCUGUUGUUGGCUAUAAAAUAUGCUAUAAAAUACUGCUCUGAUACUUUUUAAAGGAAUUGAUACUUGUGUAUGAUGAACUGAUUGAAAAUGUACAGCUGGAUAGAAAUUUCUAAUGUUCGUCUAGGAAUAAUACAACUAAGUCACAUUACAGGUUUAUCCAAAGUCACUUCCUGAUGUGUGCCUUUUGGUAUUUCCUGCAGCAAUUCAAGCAUCUUAAUUAAAGGUAAAACUACACAACACCUCCUGGAACUUGAGCUUGAAUUUUCAUGUUUAAGCCUGAAUUCUUAACCCACUUCCUUAACUUCUUUAUGACUUGAUGGAAAAGUAACCCUAAUAACAGUCCUACGGCUGUUAUUUUAAGCCCGGCGCACGGGUGACCUGGCUCAGGCUGGUCGACGUAAACGGCGCGCUUCACCGCAGCUAUCGGAGAAGCUGAAAAGUCAGCGGGCAAAGGUGAGCCCCGCAACGGUUAGAAGCAGCUUCUGCCACCUCUGACGUCACCGGCCGAGGCGUGAAAAAGAGGCUGCCAGGGAUGGAGUGUGAAAGCCCGACCCGUCUGGGCUGCGUCUGCCCGCGUUUAUCUCCAGCCCUUCUGGGCUGUCGGUGCGUAAACAAACGCUGAGGAUGAGCAGCUAACGGUGCGUAGCGUCACGAGGAACUUGUUAGCAUGUGGGCCUCGCCUGAGCUUCGCUGAACGCUCUUCUCCCCCAUUUCUGAUCAUCAUGCACCCGUGUAGAUCCACUGAGCAAUCCCUGCAUCUUUGUUUUUUAAAUCUGCUUUUAAAUCUCUUCUGAAUUCAUUUGGUUAGUCCUUUUUCUUGUAUCUACCCAUUUUUGACUGAGUUAAUCUGUAGUUAUUGACACUAACAUUCAGCAAAUUAUGCAUGUGAUGUGCUCUGAAUGGCCUAGGGUAGGGCUUUAGGAAUAUUAAUACUGUCCCAGUGCUGAGAGGAUAUAAUAGAAAUCAGUUUAGGUUAAGAACAACAGAUGUCUGACUGGCACAGCUGUUGCAUCUGCUGAUUUUAUAUGUGAUACCUUGAGUCCCGAGGAAAGAAAAGUAAAGUGAGUCACCAGCUCUUUGUGUGUGUGUGUGCGCAUGCGUGUGUGUGCGCGUGUGUGCGUGUGCAUGCUUUAGCAGAGAGAACCUGCCUCUGCACUUCCUCCCACUCCUGCUAUGUUUGGGAUGACGCCUGGCACCAUGCAUGCCUUUCCUCCCCCCCCCCCCAACCAGUAUCCCGCAUCUCCGGGUUUAUUCCGCACUAGUUCGCGUGCCCUUUCCCCGUGCGGACACGCACUCCAGCCCCCGGUGGCACAGGCUGCGUGGCUUCAAGCGAGCCGCUUUGACGCACUCUGCCGGCUGCAGAAACUGCGCCGUUCACGCGCAUUCCGAGUGGGAGCGCCAGGAAGAGGGGGCCAUCGACACGUAGCAUCCCCGCAACCCUUCCAGAGAAUCGCACUGUAUGCGAUUCGUGAUGCGGUGGCGUCAAUGUGGUGGGCUGAGAGAAACGCUGUAAAAUCAGCAUUAGACACACAGACGGACACAUGGUGGCAAGUCCUGACGACAGCUCGGCUUUGAAGAUCCCUGGCUCUGCUCGUGUGAAGGGCUCCAUUGCACCGGUGUAAUGAAGACGUGCAGCCGUACGCGGCCCAAACACGCUCCAGCUCCCUUGUUUGCCCAUUUUUUUUGCAAGCUUCCCAGCACAAGCUAGAUUAACCCUGGCAGCACGUCAUGGGCCUAGUGAAGCAGAGGACUCUGGGAAGACUCACUGACUCAAGACUGACUCUGCUUUUUAUUAUCUGGGAAUAUCUAAAUGUUUUCUCUCGUGUAUCAUGAAACGAAGUUGCUGUGCAGGAUUUAACGCAUGCAUUUCAAUAGCCCAAGUGGCCUGACCUAACUUGUUCCUGUUAUACCAUUUUUUUCAAGGGCUGGCUAUUGUGUUGCAGUUUUAAAAUGAAUAAUCCAGUGUUAAGUAUUUCCCUCUUAAUAAACUUUUUCUCAUGACAAUGUUUUAAAGUAAUGCAGUGAGCCUGUAGAAAGCUAUUCAAGAUAAAAUAAAGUUUUGCUGAAAUAAUCCA